rnacentral:snRNA from 1 species
AGGCUUACCUGGCAGAGGUGAUUCCAUGAUCACAGGAAAGUGGUUUCCCCAGGGCGAGGCUUAUCCAUUGCACUCUGGAUGGGCUGACCCUUGAGAUUUCCCCAAAUGAGAUACAACUGGUACCUCAUUC